rnacentral:lncRNA from 10 species
CCAACUGGUCCGAUGGAUACUGGGUCUGUUUGCACUUGAGCAUCCAACAUCCGCUUUGGUCCCUGGAGAAAAACAGAAAGACGUGGCAGCCUAUUGAAGCUCUGUAAUGUCAACAGCAACAAUGGCCAUUUAUGUAGCACUUACUCUGUGCUAGGUGUUGGGCUAAAUUAAUAUAUCUCAUUCCUCAGUGCUGGGUAAGAGAAUGGUCUCCAGUCAGAUGCCCGGGUUCGAUACCCAGUUACAUGACUUUCUAGCUUUGUGAAAUCUUGGACAAAUUACUUAUCAUCUCUUUGCGCUUUGGUUUCUUUAUCUUUAAAAUGGAAAUGACAAACUUAUCUCAGAGGGUUGUUCCCAAGAUAAAGUGAGUUCAUGCUUAUAAUGUACUUAGUACCUAGGGGGUACUAAUUCUACCUCACUUUAGCUCCCUCCCCAGUUACCAUCUAGGUUCACCACCCUGUUUUAUUUUCUUCUUUUUUUUUUAUUAUACUUUUAAGUUCUAGGGUACAUGUGAGCAAUGUGCAGGUUUGUUACAUAUGUAUACAUGUGCCAUGUUGGUGUGCUGCACCCAUUAACUCGUCAUGUAACAUUAGAUAUAUCUCCUAAUGCUAUCCUUCCCCCAACCCCCCAUCCCAAACCCUAUUUUAUUCUCUCUCAGAACAUACCACUCUCUGAAAUGAUCUUAUUAUCUAAUUUAUUUGUCUAACAUCUGUCUUCUACACCAGAUUGGAAGCUGCAAGGAUUCUGCGUGUCUCAGUGCCUUGCAGGUUCCUAGCACAUGGUACCUAGCCUUAACAUUGACUGAAUGUGGGUGAAGGAAUGUUGUCAGGCAGAUACAAUUAUUUUAUUUUAUUUUUUUGAGACAAAGUCUUACUCUGUUGCCUAGGCUGAAGUACAGUGGUGGGACUAUGUUCACUGUAGCCUUGAAGUCCUGGGCUCAAAUGAUCCCCCCACGUCAGCCUCCCCAGUAGCUUGGACUACAGGUGCACACCACCAAACUCAGCUAAUUUUAAAAUUUUUUUUGUAGAGACGGGGUCUCAAUUUGUUGUCCAGGAUGGUCUUGAACUGCUGGGCUCAUGUGAUCCUUCUACCUUGGCCUCCCAAAGUGAUGGAGUUACAGGUGUAAGCCACUAUGCCUAGCCUGAGUACUAUUAUUAUUAUUAUUACUUUACCGUUUCUGUCAAGUAUAACUUAUAAGUAGUAAAGUUAACCUUUUCUGUAUUUGGUUCUAUGAGGUUAGACCAACACAAAUAGCCCCCUAAAACCACCAUCCAAAUCAACAUGUCACAUGGUUCUGUCCCCCCUCAGAUCUUUCUUGUGCCUUUUGUGGUCAACCGCUCCCCACCGCAGACCCUGGCAAGCACCGAUCUGUUUUCAUCCCUAGAGUUCUGCCUUUGCCAGGAUGUCAUAUCAUGGGAUCCUAGAGUAUACACAGCCCUUCAGACUAACUUCUUUCAUGUAGCAUAGUGGAUGUGCGAUUCAUCCACCUUGCUGCAUGGAUCAAUUGUGGGCCUCCUUUUAUACUAUAAGACAGUAUAGGGUAGUACAGUAUAAGAUUUAUAUAUUGUAUACAGUAUAUAUAUAUAUAUACACACACACAUAGAGAGAGUAUAGUAUAGAGUAGUAUAAUAACGUAUUGUAGCAUAGUAUAUAUAGAUAGUAUAGUGUAGUAUAAGGUAAUAUAGGAUAGUAUAAUAUAGGGUAGUGUAUAUUUUAUAGUAUAUAUAGUAUACAUAUAUAGUAUAGUCAAGUAUGGUAACUAUAGCACAGUAUAGUUUAGUCCACUGUAUAGUAUAGUAAAUAAAGUAUAGCAAAGCAUAAUGUACAAUAUAGUAUGAUAUAUACAGAACACUAUAGUAUAUAGUAUAGGAAAGGGAAGUAUAAUGUACUAUCACAAAGUAUGUAUGGUCUAGUAUAUGUACAUAGUGUCAUAUGGUUUAAUGCAGUAGAAUAUACAUGAUAUCGUAUAAUAUGUAAUAUAGUAUAUAGAGUGUAUUAUAGCAUAAUAAAUAGAGUGUAGUUUAGUAUACAUGAUGUAUAUAGGGCACAUAUAUAGUAUAUGUAUAUAGUACAUAGACUGUGUAGUGCCCUGUAUAAUCUAGCAUAGUAUAGUAUAUUGUAUUUACUACAUAGUGUAGUGUAAUUUCAUGUAAUUUACCAAGGAAUCAGAUUGCUGGUCUUUGAACGCCAGACCUGCCACUUCCUAGCUGGGUGACUUUGGUCAAAUUGCUUAACCCUCUACUUAAGCCUUAAUUUUACCGUUGAUAAAAUGGGAAUUCACAGGGUAGUUUUGAAGAUUAAGUGUUAGUAUAUGCAAUGUACUUUGAACAAUCUUUGUCACACAGUAAGUGUGAUAAAAGAGUUAUGAUUAUUUUUAGUGGUGGUAGUUGAAUUCACUACUUCAUUCAACAACAUAUAUUGAGGACCUACUGCAGACAAUACAUUGUGUUAUUAAUAGUUUUGGGGCAUCAAGAGAUGACCAGGACACCGUGAAAUACCAAAAGCUUGGGCUCAGGAGUCAGCUGUGGGUUUGGGGAUGCUCCAUCCCUUUCUGGUUGCAUGACCUCUGGCCGGUCCCUCACCGCUGAGAGCCUGCUGCCUCAUCUGUGUGAGGUCUUAGACUGCCAUCCCACCCGGUCCUCACUGCAGCCCACGAGGUUGACGCCACUGUCGCUCUCAGGCUACAGAGGAGGCUGCUGAAGCCCAGCGAGCCCAAGCCACUUCAGUCAAAUUCCUGCCAGUAAGUGGGGUGCCGGCUUCUGUCCCCGAUCUCUGAACCCUGAGCUGGGUAAAGGCCAUUCCCCAACCCCUCCAUUUACCGUGCAUUGUAAUCGCUUGUUGCUGUGAUUAGAGCACAAACUCCCCAUGGCACAGCGGUGCCCGACUCAUCUCUGCACCUUUACAACCCAGGGCAGGGGCUAACUAAAUAAUACUCACAAAAUAGCCUUUCCUGACUAGUUAAACCUCACAAGCAUUGCUCUAAGGGCAUUGUACACUACUGCCCUUCAUCUUCAUGCUAACCCUGUGACGUCAGCACCAUUCACUUCAUUGAUCUGGUAUCUGAAACUCAGCAAGAUGACAGGUCCAAGCUCACUCAGCCACUAGAUGAGAGCUAGGUUCAAGUCCAGGAACAAGCUUCUUGCAAGUGUCUAGAGCCUGGUCUCAGGCUGGCCACGGGUGGCAGCCAUCCAUCCUGCCUCUGUUUGCCCAGCGUGCCUUGCCGUGGAUCCUGGUUCACCCAGGCUCCACCCUGCCCAGUCAACUCACCUCUAUUAAAGCUUACUUCCCCGAGGUUUCCAUCCUUUAGGUUCCAUGAGCUUGAUCUUGGGGCUUGAUGGACUAAACAGCAAACUCAGAUGGCCAAGUGGCUGCCACGGGCCUGAACUUUGCAAUAGAUGAACUUGUACAAGCAUUUUCUUCAUUUAUUAAAAAAAAAUUAGAUGCUGGCAUUUAAAAAUUAGGUAUUUGCUCUUAAAAAUUCUCCACCUUUGUUAUUUUCUCUUGACUAAAUGGACAGGUCCUGCCACAAUGGGUCUGCAGUCCCCCAAGGUAACAUGUGGCUGGUGCUGAGGAGGGGCACCCCCUUUAGGUGGGCACCUGCCCUUCAGGUAGCCACAGACCACACCUGACUCACUGGCCUCAUACAUACACAUGCCCUUCUGGCCUCACUGGGACUCCACCUUGGAGGCCAGAGACAUAAAUGCAACCCCUUUCCUGCCUUAUAUACCAGGACUACACGUCACAGUUCACAAGGCCAAACCAGACCCAUUCUCUUACCUGUUCUCUCUCCAGCCCAGUGAGGUGGACAGUGAUUAUUAUUCACCCUAUUUUACAGAUGCAGAAACUGAGGCUCCAAGAUGACCUAGGACUAGGUCAUGCGGUAACGGCCUGGCCACUUUGACUUGGAAUCUGGCCCUCAGCUCACCUGUUGUCCCCGGCUCUCUUCUGUUCACUGCCCGCUCUUUCCAACCCUCGGUCUCAGGCUCCUUGCAGUGACUGCGCUGAUUGUCACAAGCCUCGGUUCAGCCCACACCAGUGUGGACAGAUGUCUUCCCUUUUCAAGCCUCCAUUUGUUCACCUGCUAAACCUGCCUGCAGAUUGCGCUGCACACAAUCUAGCACUUCAGGGGCUCAUGAAAAUGGGAAAGGGGAAGGCUGGGAAAGGGCCAUCAAAGAAGUGGUGCUUAGGGGAAGGGAGAAACCCAGUCUUCCAUCAAUCAGAAUAGUUUCACUUUUAUCAUAUGUGUCUGUGUGUGCGUAUAUGCAUAUAUCCGCACACACACACACACACACCCAGGUUUUGUGACAUUUUCUUUUGUAAACAAAAAAGUCCCUUUGCUCAAAAAGAAAGGAAAAUGUUUUCAAACAGUUGGACUUUGUGAAUGCCAAGGGCUUCCUUCCAGUUCUUUUCAGAUUUUUGAAAACCAAGUGGGUUGCUCUCAGUUAGAACUCAAGUAGCAUGAUGGAGAAGGAGGAAAAAAGGACCUGACUAACGAGGACGUCACUGUGAGACAAAGAUCAUGCAGGGAUCGGCCUGCGGUGUGUCUCAUUUCCUGUGGGUAACAGGCACCACAAUAGUUCUGUGGGUGGUGACAGGCUCGGCUGCCAGCAUUCCCCUCCCAGGAAGGCGGUCAGGCAACCCUGGGGAAUGUGUCCAGCUUGAAAGUCUUCGAGGCUUGGUCUUUGGAAAGCGGCAGGGAAGCCCCCCUCCGUCCUCCAUCAUUGCUGGAGGCCUUGUGACACUGGGACGAUGCAGGACUUGGGGUCUAGGGGGCCUGAGCUGAAUGCUGCCUCUGUCUCUGACAACCUGUGGAAUGUUCAGCAAAAGACACAGCUUCUUGGAGGCCUGGCUUAUGUGUCUGGGAGGUGUGGCAGAAGCAGUCCCAGCCUGAAGGGAUGCUGCCAUCCUAAAGAGAUGAGGAAUCACCAGGCCAAUCUCCAUCAGCUCUCCCAAGAAAUAUGACCUGUAUUAACUAGCUCCUAAUGACCUUCAACAGCCAUUCUCCACCACAGCAGCAAAAUAAAAUCUUCGAAUGUUAUCAACAGGGGCCAAGACUUCUUACUUAAUAUCUGUGAGUAGCUUCCCUGCUCAGAUAGGAUUAUGUCUGCAUUCCUUGCACAGCCCGUACAGCCUGCAUGAGGAGGUCCCCGCCCACGGCUCCAAUCUUACUUCCAUCAUUCUCCCCCUACCCUACCUCUCCACCCUCAGCAACCACGGCCUUGUUUCUCUUCCUGAAAUGUACUAAGCUCACUAAGCUCAUUCCCACCCCCGUGCCUUUGCCAGGGCUGUCCCCUCCUCCUGGAAGAAAGAGCCUUGCUCUCUUCCUGUCUGGCACCUUUAACCUUUCCUGUCUCAUCUCAGAUGUAUCUCCUCAGAGACAAUUUUGGGAUCCACCGAUUAAAAGUAGCACACCCCGCCCCCAGACACACUCAGGCAAAAGUAGCACACACCCCCCCAUCCAUACUCAGGCAAACUCUAUCGCGGGACCUUGUUUAUUUCCCUCAGUGAUCUCCCAGACCUACAAUUUUGUUGGCAAAUUUUGUCUUUAAUUUUGUAAUUUUAACGUUGUAGUUUUAAUAAUUUUAACCUUGUUUUUAAACUUAUCUACUAAUACUUUUUAGCUGCAUGCUUCCCCUUCGAAUAUGAACCCCUGAUGUCAGGGACCCUGUCCCCUUUGUUUGCUGAAUAUACCUCCAGCGCCUAGUUCAAGGCUUGGCACAUGUUUCUGCAAAGGGCCAGUUGGCAAAAAUUUUAAGCCUUAUGAGCCAUGCAGUCUAGUCAACUAGUCAACCCAACCAGUCAACCCUAGUCAUGCAACUAGUCAACCCUCAUGUUUUUGUGUGAAAGCAGCUAGACAACAUGUAAAUGAAUGAACAUGGCAAUGUUCCAAUAAAAAUUUAUUUAUAGAAACAAGGGUUGCAUUUUUAAUACCCCUGGUCUAGCUCACUGCCAGGAUUCUAAAUAUUCUACAAAUAUUUGUUAAGUGAAUGACCAGAU